GACGAACGCUGGCGGCGUGCUUAACACAUGCAAGUCGAGCGGUAAGGCCCUUUCGGGGGUACACGAGCGGCGAACGGGUGAGUAACACGUGGGUGACCUGCCCUUAGCUCUGGGAUAAGCCUGGGAAACUGGGUCUAAUACCGGAUAUGACUCCAUGACGCAUGUUGUGGGGUGGAAAGCCUUGUGCGGCUAGGGAUGGGCCCGCGGCCUAUCAGCUUGUUGGUGGGGUGAUGGCCACCAAGGCGACGACGGGUAGCCGGCCUGAGAGGGCGACCGGCCACACUGGGACUGAGACACGGCCCAGACUCCUACGGGAGGCAGCAGUGGGGAAUCUUGCGCAAUGGCGAAAGCCUGACGCAGCGACGCCGCGUGGGGAUGACGGCCUCGG
rnacentral:rRNA from 1 species